UUGGAAGUACCAGUUCUCAUAUGAUCACCAAAGUUAAGCAAUGUCAAGUCUGGUCAGUACUUAGAUGGGGUGAAUGUUUGGGAAUACCAGGUGCUGUAAG